UUUUUUUUCAGUAUCAUAAUUCGGACUGUUAGAUAUUUUUCAACAAAUUUCUGAGUUUUAAACCUGGAGAAAAACAUAUAUACAUAUGUAAGAAAUUGAUUUUAUCUUUUAUGUUGUGCACAACUGUUCUAGGUUAAGUGCUCACAUGUUUAACCCUGACAUAUGCUUUAUUGGCCUGUACUUCAGUGGUUUUCAAUGGUUAAUGUCUGUCAUAUUUCUUUUUUGUGAAUUAAUUUUUUUUUAUAAAUUAGACCGUUAACUUUGUAGUCUGAAUUGUUUACAUUAUUCAUAUCACACCGCAUCUCCUUAUUUUGAUGUAAUCUCUAAAAUUUAAAAAUUGAUAUCACAACCAGUUUACAUAUUUAGUCCAGUAUGUUAUAAAUCUUUAAAAAAAAACACUUUUUAUUUUUUAAAUAUAUCCUAUUUGUCAAACAUAAAAUGUUUAAAGGUCUAAAAGUUUCAGCUGCUGUCGGUUAUUGUUAAUUUUGUAUUCUGUGUCCAAAAUCGACGUUGAUUAGAGAAGCUUUAAUUGGACGUCGAU
rnacentral:lncRNA from 1 species